rnacentral:rRNA from 1 species
GAUGAACGCUGGCGGCGUGCCUAAUACAUGCCAGUCGAGCGAACAGACGAGGAGCUUGCUCCUCUGACGUUAGCGGCGGACGGGUGAGUAACACGUGGAUAACCUACCUAUAAGACUGGGAUAACUUCGGGAAACCGGAGCUAAUACCGGAUAAUAUAUUGAACCGCAUGGUUCAAUAGUGAAAGACGGUUUUGCUGUCACUUAUAGAUGGAUCCGCGCCGCAUUAGCUAGUUGGUAAGGUAACGGCUUACCAAGGCAACGAUGCGUAGCCGACCUGAGAGGAUGACCGGCCACACUGGAACUGAGACACGGCCCAGACUCCUACGGGAGGCAGCAGUAGGGAAUCUUCCGCAAUGGGCGAAAGCCUGACGGAGCAACGCCGCGUGCGUGAUGAAGGUCUUCGGAUCGUAAAACUCUGUUAUUAGGGAAGAACAAAUGUGUAAGUAACUAUGCACGUCUUGACGGUACCUAAUCAGAAAGCCACGGCUAACUACGUG